CGGAGGGCGCGAGCGUUAAUCGGAAUUACUGGGCGUAAAGCGCGCGUAGGCUGUUGUGUAAGUUGGGGGUGAAAUCCCACGGCUCAACCGUGGAACAGCCCUUGAUACUGCGCGACUUGAAUCCGGGAGAGGGUGGCGGAAUUCCAGGUGUAGGAGUGAAAUCCGUAGAUAUCUGGAGGAACAUCAGUGGCGAAGGCGGCCACCUGGACCGGUAUUGACGCUGAGGCGCGAAAGCGUGGGGAGCAAA
rnacentral:rRNA from 1 species